CCUGGCGGCGCAGGACGCCAUCGUCUUCUCGGAUGGAGCCGGAGACGCCGGGCGCCGGGAGCCGGGCGCCGAGGAACCGGCUCGGGGCGCCGACGUCUUCUGGGCCAGCCUCGUGCAAGCUCAGAUGUGCGUGUGGGACCUGCAGGGAGCCAUCGAGGGGCAGCCGGCGGCUGGUGGCAUCUCGCACGAGCAUCACGGCCACGUGCCGAUGGCCGGGAGCAUUCCGCACGAGCACCGAGGCGGCCUAGCCACGUACGAGAGCGGCUCGCACGAGCACCGAGGCCACGUGCCCAUAGAUGGGAGCGUCUUGCAUGAGCACCAAGGCCACGUGCCCCCGGAUGGGAGCUUCUCGCACGACUACGUGCCUGCGGGUGGGAGCAUCUUGCAUGAGUACGUGCCCACGGAUGGGAGCAUCUCGCACGACUAUGUGCCUGCAGGUGGGAGCAUCUCGCAUGAAAGCGUGUCCAUGGAUGGGAGCAUCUCGCACGAGUUCGUGCCUGCAGAAGGGAGCAUCUCACACGAACACGUGCUCAUGGAUGGGAGCAUCUCGCACAAGCGUGUGCCCACAGAUGGGAGCAUCUCGCAUGAGUUCGUGCCUGCAGAAGGGAGCAUCUCACACGAACACGUGCUCAUGGAUGGGAGCAUCUCUCACAAGCGCGUGCCCACGGAUGGGAGCAUCUCGCAUGAGUACGUGCCUGCGGAUAGGAGCCCCUCGCACAAGCACGUGCCCAUGGAUGAGAGCAUCUUGCACGUGGAUGGGAGCCUCUUGCACGACUACGUGCCCGCAGAAGGGAGCGUCUUGCACGAGUUUGUGCCUACAGAUGGGAGCAUCUCGCACGACUACGUGCCCAGGGAUGGGACCAUCUCGCACGACUUCGUGCCUAUAGAAGGGAGCAUCUCGCACGACUACGUGCCCGCAGAAGGGAGCGUCUCGCACGAGUUCGUGUCUGCAGAAAGGAGCAUCUCGCACGACUACGUGCCCACGGAUGGGAGCAUCUCGCGCGAGUUCGUGCCUAUAGAAGGGAACAUCUCGCAUGACUACGUGCCUGCAGAAAGGAGCAUCUCACACGACUACGUGCCUGCGGAAAGGAGCAUCUCGCACGACUACAUGCCCACGGAUGGGACCAUCUUGCAUGAGUUUGUGCCCACGGAUGGGACCAUCUCUCACGACUACGUUCCCACGGAUGGGACCAUCUCGCAUGAGUUUGUGCCCACGGAUGGGAGCAUCUCGCACGACUACGUGCCCACGGACGGGAACCUCUCGCACGAGCGUCAGGACCACGAGUCCGGAGAGGAGGACGAGGACGAAGAGGAGGACGGCGGCUCGUCCUCCCGGGAGGAGGACGCCGAGGAGGACGAGGAAGACCUGGAGGAGGAAGAGCGCCACUUCUACACCAACCCCCUCUUCCGGGGCCUGGCGCCGGGGGGCUCGGCCGGCGGAUGCCCCCCGCCGCCCCGCUGCCCGGUGCCCGUGUACAAGCCGCACGGUGCCGCCUUGGAGCCGCUGCUGAUCACGGAGCAGGACAUCGCGGGCGCUUGUGCCAUGGGGGGCACCGAGGAGGACGUGGCAGCGCGGAGCGACGGUGCCGGCACUGCGGAGCGGGGAUCUCCCGGCUCCCCAGGCCUGGCGCUCUCCGACCCCCCGGAUCUGCCCCCGG
rnacentral:lncRNA from 1 species